rnacentral:rRNA from 1 species
UACGUAGGUGGCGAGCGUUGUCCGGAUUUACUGGGCGUAAAGAGCGCGCAGGCGGUCGUACAAGUCGCGUGUGAAAGCCCCCGGCUCAACUGGGGAGGGUCACGCGAUACUGUUCGACUCGAAGGCAGGAGAGGGAAGCGGAAUUCCCGGUGUAGUGGUGGAAUGCGUAGAUAUCGGGAGGAACACCAGUGGCGAAGGCGGCUUCCUGGCCUGUUCUUGACGCUGAGGCGCGAAAGCUAGGGUAGCAAACGGG